UACAGAGGGUGCGAGCGUUGUUCGGAAUUAUUGGGCGUAAAGGGCGCGUAGGCGGUGCGGUAAGUCACCUGUGAAAUCUCCUGGCUCAACUGGGAGCUUGCAGGCGAAACUGCCGUGCUGGAGUGUGGGAGAGGUGCGUGGAAUUCCCAGUGUAGUGGUGAAAUACGUAGAGAUUGGGAAGAACACCAGUGGCGAAGGCGGCUAUCUGGACGGUUUCUGACACUAAGACUCGAAAGCGUGGGGAGCAAACAGG
rnacentral:rRNA from 1 species